GGGACCGGCCUGGGAAGGGUCCCUAUGCCUUAAAAGGGCGCUGUCUCCGCGGGGCGGGCCGGGCAGGGCGGCUGGGGCCGAUUUGCGUGCCGGUGGCUCCCACACCCUUCCCGUCCAGCGUUGGAAUUCCUUCUGUGCUUACCGUGUGCCAAGCGCUGGGCUUUCUGUGUGGUCAUACUCAAUCCUAACAAGCUGAGGAAAAAUGGAAGAGCAAGAGGACGGGAGAGAAGAACGGACGCCGAUAGACGAAAUGCCAGUCUAUAGAGGAACGGUUGAAUACUGACACUGCCACUUGUGAGCUGUGUGACCCCGACGACUUUCUUAACUUCUCCAUCCUCCUUCGCUCAUUCAUUCGCCGAGCAUUGACUGAGCCAUCCAAUGGGCCAGAAAACCUCAGGAGGAGGCAAUUCUCCCUACCUGUUCACCAGCCCAAACGUCUAUUCACCUGGCUUCCAUCAAUGACGCAAACAUGGAUAGAUUGGAGAAUUCAGAAAGGUAAACCAUCAGAAUUGGAGGAAGAGGAGGGUGCAGACAUGUGUCACAAGAAUGGGACUCUCCUGGAUGUUGUCCCAGCAACUGAACCCAUCCACAGAGCAGCCAGACAUUUCCAGGACUUUGAAAAGGACAUCAGAGAGUGCAAGAAGCAAAGCUGUGAUUCUGUGGCUUCUCUCUCCUGGCAACACCAUCAGCAAUCCCUGCCAUUUCCCAGGGGAUUUCAUCCUUUAUUAUUGCCUCCAUUCCUUGCCCACAUGUGAAGAGAUUGUUAACAGCUUGGGCGGUGGCAGUUGACACACUUGGAUUUGAAUUUCUGCUCUGCUACUUACUAAAGGGUGGCUUUGCACAUGCUUAACCUCUCUGGCAUUUCAUCAUCUGCAAAGAGGUAAAAACAAUAGAUAGGUUUAGAGGGGGAGAGUUUCAAAUAGGGACAUGCACGCAAAGUUCUCAGCACAGUGCCUGGCUCGUGGUGUACCCUCAGUAAAAGAUACCGAUUAUUGUCAUUAUUAGCUAUUCAUGUAAAAAAGGUAGCCUAUGACAUCUCCAUUUAAAGUUAGGGAAAAAGAAGGCCAUAGUUGGUGGAGAGAAAGAAUAUGACUUGGCAGUGGUGGCCCAGUAAGGUAGCAACAAAGUCAGAAUACCGUUGGCCUUCAGCUUCCUGCUUUGGCCUUCCUGCCAGAUCCCUGUCUUAAUAGGUACCUCAAGAAUUCCUGGUGAGGCUCAAUAUGGGAUCCCUCUCAACUAGAAGCUUGGUGUUCUGCCCUUCCUUCCAAAAUUUCCGUGCCAGGAUGUUGGUCACCAAUAUGCAUUCGUUUAAGAUUUAUCUGACUGCUGAGAUGAUUUGCAGCAGCUUUCAGAUUAAAAAGUAAAAAUUACAGCAUCAAAGAAUAAAGCAAGAGCUGACUCCAUCUAAAGAAAGCAGAAAGAGUUGCUUCUUUCAGGCACCUGAAUUGGUCAGAACGCUUGGAGGUAAUAAGGUAAUAAAAGUGGGUAUCCCUAUUUGUCAGCUAAAGAAAAAAUGGAAACACUUUGGAUGGCAGAGUUUUUAUUUUCUGACAGCAGAAAAUACACAUCUUCAUCUGCAGAGACAAAAUGUUUCCUGGAAAUAACCCCAAGCAUGAAUUUAUCAUGAGUCCUUGUAUAAAGGACAUGAGUGACAUAGUGGGCAAUAUAUUCAAUUCUGUUUUCAUAAAGACAGAAAUGCCAUUAAGUUGGUCAGUUUCUCACAUCAGGGUUCUCUGAAGACAGAGAGCAUAACAUUAAAUCAUAACUCAGAGAAGGCAUUUCUUUAAGGAACUCAGAUAAUGAAGUCUAGGAAAGACACCUUUGGGUCCAUUCCACAAACAUUACUGAGCAUCUACUCAAGCAUCCAUCCAUCUGUCCAUCCAUCCAUUCUGCAGAGAUCUACUGAGUGCCCACCAUGUACCAGGCAUUCUGAAUGGCACUGGUGAAGACUGCUUGUAAGAGCUGAGCCUGGACUGGAUUUUGAAGGACAAAUAGGAGAUGGCCAGACACAGAAGGAGGAGGAGAACAUUCCAAGGAGAGGCAGCAGCAUGCACAAAGGCCCAGAGAGAAAGGAGAGAGAAAGCGGGAGCACAAGUGCCUCUGAAUGGCUGGAGCAUGGGGCUGGGGCAUGUGGAAACAGGAGGCUAGAGGGGCAGGUAGGGGCAGGUAACGGAGGCUUUUGUAGAGAGGGUCUAGCAGAAAGCUGGGAUUUCACCCUGUGGGCCAUGGCAAAACAUCCCGGGAAGGCAGGAGAGCUGUGAAAUCACGUUAGUGUUUUAAAAGAUAACUGAUGGCAAAGAGGAAGACACACUGAAUGGGGCCAGAGCAGAGCUGGGCACCUGUUAUGUGGCUGUUUUUGUCAGAAACUGGAAAAAGAGACAAUGGGGGCACUGGUUAGGACAUGGGAGAUGUUAAGGAGGCAGAAUUUAGAGGACUUGGGGAUUGCCUGGAUGUAGGGGCUGAGGAAGAGGCUCAGAACCAGGUGGAUGUGGAAACCAUUUCCUUAGGUGGAGGACUGAGCAGAGAGGCAGGUUGAGGUGAAGGUUUAGAAGCGGGCGAGUUCAGUGGUGAGCAGGCUGGGGCAGAGGGUCCUGUGGGACAUCCAAGAGGAGAGAAUGUCAGACACGGUCCAGGCACUAGGGACUCAGGAGACACUUCAGCAGAAGGAUUCUGCCAUAAGGAGCUCCCAGUCCACUAGGGGAGACAAAUGAGAAAGCCAUCAAUUAUACAGAGACCGGGGAGUCGCAGAAGAGAACUAUAUUGCCCCUCCCGCCCUUCCUCUCCACCCCGGACUGCUGCAGAUUCUUCACACUGUGUCUCCCUCCCUGCAUUUGUCCACACUGCUUUCUUCCCGGAAAGUGCCACUUCUCACCUGCCCCUCUCCCCAGGCUGAGCUAGGAGCCCUUCUCAUUUCCAUAACACCCUGUAUUUGUCCCAGAGUUAUUAAUUAUGCUUUGCUGUUUAACUCUCUUCUCAAUAAACUCUGAACCCCCUGAGGGCAGGGA